UAAUUAUCUGUUUUUAGAAUUGAUGUUCGAAAUCAUGAUUUCUGAGUGAACUUCAAAGGAGCAGAAAAUCUUGGAGGAAACAUUGAUAUCAAUCUAAUGACAUUCCAUAGGAAUAACAAUCCAAUGGGAUCCAGUUCUUAGCAGUCCCAGCCUAGUCAGAAGUACAAAGUCAAAUACCAUUUGCACAUCACCAAGAGGUACAAUCUCAUGAGUAACAGGAUAUCUGAUCUAAAAGCUUGCCAGGUUUCACAAGCAGUUUGAGUAUCACCAGGGCAGAUCAAGAAGAAAUAUGAAGGCCAGGUUCAUAACAAGCAGUUUCUUCAUUGCAAUUACAGAUUUAAAAACUUGAAUGA